AACCAUCUAAUGGUGAAACUGCGAACGGCUCAUUACAACAGUUAAAAUCAGCGUGAAGCUUACUGAGUGGAUACUUUCAGUAAUUCUGGAGCUAAUACAUGUUCGCACGGGCAACCGUGUCAUUUAUUAGAAUCACCAACCGCUUCGGCGUGUAGUGAUGACUCUGAAUAUCUCGCAGACCGCAUGCGAAAGCGGCGGCGAUUCACGUAAUUAACUGCCCUAUCAACUUUUGAUGGUAGUUUCGUUGUCUACCAUGGUGAUAACGGGUAACGGAGGAUAAGGGUUUGACUCCGGAGAGGAUGCCUUAGAAACGGCAACCACAUCUAAGGAAGGCAGCAGGCGCGCAAAUUACCCACUCUCAAUUCGAGGAGGUAGUGACAACAACUAACGAGACUGCGUCCUAUGGGCGCAGUCAUCGAAAUGGGUACAAUUUAAACCCUUUAACGAGGAUCUAUGAGAGGGCAAGUCUGGUGCCAGCAGCCGCGGUAAUUCCAGCU
rnacentral:rRNA from 1 species